CCUACGGGAGGCAGCAGUAGGGAAUUUUGCGCAAUGGGCGAAAGCCUGACGCAGCAACGCCGCGUGAUCGAGACGCCCUUCGGGGUGUAAAGAUCUGUCAGUGGGGACGAAACUUGACGGUACCCACAGAGGAAGCACCGGCUAACUCCGUGCCAGCAGCCGCGGUAAUACGGGGGGUGCAAGCGUUAUCCGGAUUUACUGGGUGUAAAGGGAGCGUAGACGGCUGCGCAAGUCAGAAGUGAAAGCCCGGGGCUCAACCGCGGGACUGCUUUUGAAACUGUGUAGCUAGAGUGCAGGAGAGGUAAGUGGAAGUCCUAGUGUAGCGGUGAAAUGCGUAGAUAUUAGGAGGAACACCGGUGGCGAAGGCGGCUUACUGGACUGUAACUGACGUUGAGGCUCGAAAGCGUGGGGAGCAAACAGGAUUAGAUACCCCGGUAGUC
rnacentral:rRNA from 1 species